rnacentral:lncRNA from 1 species
UUUGAAAUCUUAUGUACCUACUGCCAAAAGAGUAAGAUUAAGAUAUUAGAAAACCUCUAUGUUUAGUACUUCAUGCCCAAAAUAUAAAUUCAGAACUUAGGAAAUUAUAUAUGCAUGUGUGAUAAGAAAAAUUUAAGAAUAUGCUCAAGUACAGCUCUAGACCAAAUGUAUAGUGGACUACAAAAAUCAUAAUUACUUGUCUCGACAAUGGAAAUUACAAAAACCACCACAUUUUCCAUAUAUUUCCCAUGAGCUGGCAAUGAUUUUCUCUAGACAAAGAAAAUCAUAAUUACUCCACCAACAAAAAUAAUUUUGUGGUUACUAAUUCCCUAUUGAUUUUUGAAAAUCCAGAAUUGCUUGUUCAGAUGUUCUGGGUCAUUACUGUUGUGUAGCACAGAGUACAAAAAGAAAGUUUAUCAGUUUUCCUUGUUCAGGUCUUGUCUUACUUGCUUACUAAUAUUUGUACUGUUUCAAAGUUGAAUAGGAGACAGAUUUGUCUAGUUUGACAACAACUCAGAUUAUUUUUAUUUUUAGUAAGCUGAUGGCUCUCCUUUUCUUUGCACAGUUAUCAAUUCACAGUUAGUUUGCUACUACAGGAACAAAAUAAGGAUAAACCUCUGCUAUACAGUUUGCAUGUAAGCAUUCAAAUACUGCUCUAGAGCCCUUUACACUUGUAUGAAUGUUGUGAAUCAAUGUGUUCCUAAACCUUUACCCUCCAAUGCCCUUCUAUUAAACUUUAGACAUCACACACUAACAUGGUACUGAAGAUAUUACUGCAGGAAUCCACAUAGAUACUAUAUACAGCACAAAAGGGCAUAUUGACACUAUAAGAACUGUCCUGGCUGGCAAAUUACAUAUUAUAGUUACCUUCUUUUCUUCGAUUUCUUGCUCUAUUAAUCAGCUGUUGUGGAGUGAUUAUAUGUCUUUGGUGCUAUAUUUGUAGUGUUUUCAUUGAAAAGAUUUCUACUCACAGUAGUAGAAUUUUUACUGCAGCGAGUAGUUGGUGCUGCAUCUUUUUGUACAAUGACAACACUUCCUGGACGAGUCUACAAACAUUCACUUGCUGUCACUUGCGAGAUGCUCACUAGCCAAGCAUGCCCUAGCUGUUCUUUGAAACUUAACAAGGACAAAACAUUUAUAUCACCCCUAUCAAUUGAGAGGUGAAUGUGUUGUCUGCAGUUGUCCCCUUGCAUAUAAAAUGUACCAACCACAUCUCUCCAGCUAUUUUUUAAGCAAUCUCUGGCUAAAUUUGCUCUGUACAUUACAAAAUUGUCAGUGCAAUCAAUUCAACAUGUGAUUUGAAGUUAAAAAAUUAUCAACGCAAUCAACAGAUUACUAGAUUCAAACUAGUACAAAAAUUAAACCAGAGAUCAAAGCUUCACACAGAUAAAAGCAAGGCAAAAAUGGCAGCGUAAAUGAUUAUAAAAUCAAAUAAUCUAUUGUCAGGACUUAUAUAUAACAAUGUAUGCUCUUGAUGCUUUUGUGUUACAUAGUCUAUGAAAUUAUUACGUCCAGGCAUAAUAUGGCGUGCAGAGUCCAAAAUGAAUCUCCAAAUCCAAUAUAUAGUUGGUCACAAAAAAUAGAUGGCUCUCUAAGAAACUAAAAGGCCAUACCAGUCUUUAAAAUUUAUAAGCCACAUCAAUAGAUCUAUUCAUUAUUUUACUUGAUCAUGCUUUAUAAAAUGAAUCUCCAAAAAGUAAUGUUUAGAGGAUCUCUAAAAUAGAUAGCUCUCUAAAAAUCAAAAGGACCACAGCUGUCUCAUUACAAUUUAUAAGCCACGUCAAUACAUCUAUUUAUUAUGUUACUUGAUGAUCCACAUAUUUUAUAAAAUAAAUCUCCAAAAACUAAUAUUUAUUGGAUCUCUAAAAUAGGCUGGUCCCUAAAAAACUAAAAGACAACAGCAUGCUGGCGGGUAGAUCGAGCAGAGGGCUGGAGUCAGGAUAGAUAUACUGUUGGAUCAUAUUUCUUUCAGUAAAUUCUCUAAACUAAACAAAUCCAAUCUACAUGCUAAAUAAAGUGGGGAUGAGCCAAAACUCUAAACCAUUAGCUGCUACGGUAAAAUACAAAAUAAGAUAAAAUUGGGAAAAAAACAAACAAUCUGUCAUACCUAUGUUCACUUAAUUCAAGCAAAUAUGGUGAUAUUUUGUUGCAUUGUAAAGAACUGAGUGGAGCAUAAUCCCAAGGCCUCUAUAGCCAUCUCAGAAGAGACGCACCAGCAUGGUAGCACGGGAAAAAGCAAAAGAAUCGAAAAACAAAUACAACAUGUAUACGCGCUAGGCUCUACAUUCAGGAAAAAAUGGACAUCAAUUCGCCCAUCACCUUCUCAUCACUAGAUUCAGUUGCAACCAUGGCCACUGUGGGCUCGAAACAGAGUACAAUUUGGGACGAAUAAAUGGAUGAACCAAAACCCUAGAUAGAGAUGUGGCGUGGUUGCAUACCUAGUCGAUGAUAGUCCGAAAAACUCUUGAUCGACACAAACGCCGGCGUAGGCUUGUACUGCUUCUGGAGGAGUACCAUCGGCAUCCGGCCUUGGUCACGGGAGUCGGCGCCAUCGGUGGCAGCGGUAGGGGAAGUCCGCGCCAUGGUCGUCGUCACGCACAGGAGGGGAGUACAUCGGCUGCGCGGCCUUGUUCAUCGGAGUCGGCGCCGUCGAUGGCGGCAGUAGAAGAAGCUCGUGCCCUCCUGGUCGCCAUCGGGCGGAGGAGGGUGCAGGGGCAACACGAACCGUCCGAGGCGGC